AUGGGACAAAUGAUCAAUACACUAAGUUGGGUCUGAGCUCACACACAUGUGUCUGUGCUCCUCAUGUUCAGCAGCAUUCAUCCCACAAACAGGCCGUCAGGACUCCACGGCAUCAUGAGAAUAGAUGUCCUUCUGAGUGUGUGACUAACAGCGCGUGUGUGUGUGUGUGUGUGUGUGUGUGUGUGUGUGUGUGUGUGUGUGUGUGUGUGUGUGACCGUCUGCCUGUAUCCAGUCUAUAUGUUCAGUACACGUGAUUCUGUGAGACUUGUGUAUUUAGCAAUCCCAGCCCGGGGCCGGCCAUAAUAACAUGUUUUAGUCGAGCUAAAAACAUGCAAUUAGCCGGAGGAUGCAGCGUCGCCGAGCACCGGAGACAAUUAGAGCUGCAGCAGCAGCAGCCGGUGGCGGCGGCCAUGAUUCAUUAUCAACACUGUGAAUAUUGAUGAGGAAACUGUGACAACAAAGAGAAUCCAGGAUGACAAAUGCCAGGCAGGAACAAAACUAAAAAAACACACACACACACUGGACAAUUUAAAGAUUAAAUAUCAAAGAGACCAAAUUGAUUCCGACGGGUUUUUUUCUUUUAUUUUGGUCUUAUUAUUUUUAAGAACGCAAUUAUCAACACUUGCGAAGGAAAUCAAUUUAUUUUGCCUGCUAAAAAUUGCAUAGUGCCGUCUGGUCAGAGCUGACAGAGACGGGAAAAACAAAAAUGAAGGAAUCUUUUACAUCAGCUCCAUUUAAAAAAAUGAUAUAUAAACUAAUCCACAGCAGUGGUCUGCAGCCCGUUGUGAUAAACUACAAGUGCAGAAAAACAGUUGUUUCCAUCAUCUCUAUAGCUUCACUGUAUUUAUCUUUAUAUUAAGCUAAACAGGGACAAACAAAACCUCCUCGUCCUGUCCCGUCCUGUCCCCUCCGGUCCUCUCCCCUCCCCUCCCCUCCUGUCUUCUCCUGUCUUCUCCUGUCCUGUCCUCUCCUCUCCUCUCCUCUCCCAUCCAUCAGCAGCUGUAAGUGCAUGAGCUAAUCGCCAGGCAGCGUCCUAAUGAAAGCUCUGCUGCUGCUUAACGGCCACCGGGAGAGACUCCACCACAGAGAGAGGCCCACUGGGACCAAAGCCAGUCUUCGUUGGAGAUAAGGGGUGAAACUGCGUGUUGAAAUAAUUGAUUGGAUUGUAAAACGAGGAGUUUCUCCACAGCUGCACUCUUCAGAUCGCUCCACACACACUUCCUGUGACACAGCGGGACCUCCGCACGUGCAGCUGUGGGGUCUACGGGACGGACGUAAGGAUCUCUACAAGUGGACAAUUAUCCAGGCAGCGUGUUGGGUCCCUCUCCACACAAGACAACCUGCCAAUCAGUUUCAGCUAUAAGAGGAGCCACACACACACACACACACACACGGCGCAUAUCUGGCCUCAUCAGCUUGUCUGUCAUGAGCUCCAGUCGCCCGAGACUUCCUCCAGCAACACGCUAAAGCCGCUAUCAGCGGCGGCAGAUACAACAAGCUAAUCCUAAUUGGAAUUUACACAUUCAAAUGAAAUCUGCAACGCUUCACUGGAAGAGGUUUUAUCUGCAGAUAAUACAGGGAGGGAGUGGCAGAGUGAUGGAUGGGACGCGUGUGUGUGUGUGGAGGAGGGGGUUCGGCAUCCAGAGUGUGUGUUUAAGCAUGUGUGAGAGUUGGAGCACAACCAUGACAACAGUCGGCCGGUCUAAUGUUGUAGUUUGGUGUCUUGUUGUCCUUGGAAGCUGCUGUGUUCUUCUAAGAAGCUGCCAGCAGGACUGAGAACUGCACGAUAGUAUUUGACUUCCUAUUGACUGAUACUUAUCAAUGAGUGAAACCUGUGGCAUACGGUCUGAGCACAUGGAGUCACAUAGUCAGGGUUGCAGUGUGAUGUGGGCCAAACUAAUGCAGUCAGGCUAAUAUGAGGCAUUGGGUGGUCAGGUGAUCAAAUCUUUUUUUGGGUUUUCAUGCUGAAUGUCUUGUUGCUAAGACACUGCACACGCAUCACUUUGGUAGAAACAAUAUUUAAAUUUAAAUGAAAUUGAAAGUCGUGUGCUUUUUUGUGAUGCUUGCGCAGUUAUUAGAUUGUUGAUUAAAUAAAAUUAAUCGAUGAGUCGACGAAGAUGUAUGAGUGUUCGUCGACUAAGAAUUUCUGCCCUCAUCUACCAUUUGAACUUCAAACACCUCCUAUUUGGAAGCGAUAAGGGGAAAUACUGUCAACCCACUGGGGUAAAAUAAAGAGGAGCUGCAGGUCUCCU